rnacentral:tRNA from 1 species
GGUCGGGUCGGAUAGCUAGGCUAUUUCGUGAGACUCAGAAUCUCAAGGCAGUGAUGUCUCGUGGGUUCAAAUCCCACCCCCGGCCG